GCCACCACGCUUGGCUAACUUUUGUAUUUUUAGUAGACCAGGCUGGUCUCAAACUCCUGACCUCAGGUGAUCCACCUUCCUUCGCCUCCCAAAGUACUAGUAUUACAGGUGUGAGCCACCAUGCCUGGCUCAUUAAUUUGAAUUGAAUUCCAUUUUGCUAGAAACAUCUUUCUGCUAUUAGAAGGAUGUGAUCACCAUUUUUUAGGAUCAUCAUCCAAAAAGCAUAAUAAAGCCCCAGAGAUUUUUUCACAUUCAAUUGCAGCUUUUAUAAAUGCAUUUUUCUUCUCAUAGUAAUGGACACAUUGGAGUUGCAUUUGGCUUUUUGAGUUAUACAUUUGUUACAAAUAAUUCUUUUCUUGUUCUUGCUUUGAUCAAUAAUUCAGUAUUCUUUUAAUGAAGAAUAUGAAGUUGUAGGGAUUUCAUCUGAUCUUUUCAAAUUAUGGGUUUGAAGAUAUUUUUGUUCAUUUUCAUAUGAUUAGUAAUUAAAUCUUAUUAGGUAAGGAAUUUGUACAAGUCCUGUACGCAAAUUUUAUGUGAGUCAUGCUCAGCAGACAUCAGUUCACUUUCAUUGUUUCCAGUUUUUAGAAAUUUAGGCAAACUGCUUUCUAUUUUCUCUUCUUUCAGGCUUUUUGUUCUCUGAGCUUCACAUCUGUAUUUUCUUUUCUUUUCUUUCUUUUUUUUUUUUGAGACAGUUUCACUCUGUUGCCAAGGAUGGAGUGAAGUGGGCAAUCUUGGCUCACUGCAACCUCUGCCGCCCGAGUUCAAGCAAAUUUCCUGCCUCAGUCUCCCAAGUAGCUGGGACUAUAGGCAUGUGCCACCAUGCCCAGCUAAUUGUUUUUGUAUUAUUAGUAGAGAUGGGGUUUCACUAUGUUGUCCAGGUCGAUCUCAAACUCCUGACCUCAAGUGAUCUGCCCACCUCGGCCUCCCAAAGUGCUUGGAUUACAGGCGAGAGCCACUGUUCCCGGUCCACUUCCGAUCUUGAUUUAUACUUAAGUAUAAAUUAUUUAUUUAUACUUACUAAAUUAUACUUAUUUUUAAAUAAUUAUUAAAUAUUUUAAAUAAAUAUUAAAUUAUUUAAAAUUAUUUAAAUAAAGCUGAAUUCAUAUUUAAAUGUAAGGAAAUAUUAAUUUUUGUAAAAAUUCAUAAUUCUAGCAUUGUCAAUUUGGUUGUCAUUGUAUUUGUCCAUGUAGUUGCCAAUUUAUACUGUUUCAUGAAUGUUGUCUCUAUAUCUGACUAUAUAGAAAUAUAAGAAUAAUAACAAUUAUUUAAUGUUACAAAAUAUUCAGCUGUCACUUGCAGCUGUUGUGAAUACCAGAAGCAUGCAUCACUGACAAAUGGUACCCUGUUAUACAAGAAUCUAUUGCGUUUGUGCUGAGAAGAUUUGACAAGUUCAUUAAUUUGUCUUUUUUUUAUUAAUGCCUUUUCCUCCCCGAGCUCUGAAGCAGCGGGAGGAAGUCUAGCUCUAUGUUAGCAGUGGCACAACUCACAAAUCUUCAUGGCAUUCCAAUUCAUCCCCCCCCCCACUUUUUUUAAUUUCAAGGACAUAUAGGGCUAGAGUGUAAAGAAGGAAUUUCUUGGACCCUGAAACAGUGUAAGUCAUGAGAACAGAUGGAUGGGGUAUACGGGUUGUGCCAUGCCAGCACUAAGGGGCAAAUAUCAAGUUGCAGAUAUCCAUACAUUCCUUUUUUUUUAAAGAUGGGGUUUCACCAUGAUGUCCAGGCUUGUCUUGAACUCCUGACCUCAGGUGAUCCACCCACCUUGGCCUCCCAAAGUGCUGAGAUUACAGGCAUGAGCCACCGCGCCCAGCCAUACAUUUCUUAAUAUACAAAUGUGUUGUGUUUGUUCUAUGUGAGGUCCUCCAAAGCUCAAGUUCCCUGCUUGCCUGGGUUAAAGAUGGCGGUCACUUUGGAUAUUGUCUUAGGAACUAGUGAAAGAUCUCUGGAGAGUGGUAUCUUCAGCAGAAUAGAAAGGGGAAAGGAGCCACCUAGGCGAGAUUUGGGAGACAGAGCAGAGGCAGAUUUACCAUGAGGCAAAUGAAGCUUAAGUUUCAAGCUCCCUCCUUUGUACAGAUUGCUCCAAGGUUCUGGCUCUUUCUUGAUUUUGUGUUCUUUUUUUUGAAGAUGUCCCCAACUCAUAAAAGUGAAGUUUGAAAAACUUAAGGGAGGAUAUCAGAGCCCAAACCAGACAGGUUCAGGGUAGCUCAGGGCAGGGUCCUCUUCUAGCAGUGUCCUGGAAUACUCAACAGGAACCAAAGGCAUAUGAGCUGGGAGUAGAAGGUCUGGGCCAAUCCAAUAGGGUUUUAGAGUGACUUCUGCAACUGCAGCGGUGAGGCGGGGUGUGGUGGCUCACACCCGUAGUCCCAGCACUCUGGGAGACUAAGGUGGGUGGAUGCCUUGAGUCUAGUUUUGUCAUGGGCAACAUGAAAAAUCUUAUUUCUACAAAAAUUCGAGGGCCACGGUGCCUCUGGCCAGUUGUCCUGGUGCUUGAGGAGGCGAGGCCAUGAGUUCAAGGCCAACCUGAGCAAUGUCACAUGCUCUCAUUGAUUAACAAAAAAAAAAAUUUUGCCAGGCACAGUGGCUCAAGCCUGUAAUCCCAGCACUUUGGGAGGCCGAGGCGGGUGGAUCACGAGGUCAAGAGAUCGAAAAUAUCCUGGUCAACAUGGUGAAACCCCAUCUCUACUAAAAAUACAAAAAAUUAGCUGGGCAUGGUGGCACGUGCCUGUAAUCCCAGCUACUCAGGAGGCUGAGGCAGGAGAAUUGCCUGAACCCAGGAGGCGGAGGUUGCAGUGAGCCGAGAUCGCGCCAUUGCACUCCAGCCUGGGUAACAGAGUGAGACUAUCUCAAAAAAGCAAAAAAAAAAAAUUAGUCGGGUGUGGUGCCAUGUAACUGUAAUCCCAACUACUCAGGAGGCUGAAGUGGGAGGAUUGCUUGAGCCCAGGAGGCAGAGGUUGUAGUGAGCUGGGAUCACACCAGUGCACUCUAGACUGGGUAACAGAGUGAGACUAUCUCAAAAAAGCAAAAAGAAAAAUAAGAAACUGCAGUAGUGAGAUUCAUCUAGAGCAGCCCUGAUCAACAGAAAUAUAAUGCAAGUUACAUGUAUGAUUCUGAAUUUUCUAGUGGCCACGUUUAAAUAAGUAAAAACAAACAGAUGAAAGUAAUUUUAAUAUUUUAUUAAACUCCUUGUAUCUAACAUAUUAACUAAGUCCUUAAAAUCUGUUUGUUUUGUUUGAGACAGAGUCUUGUUCUGUCAUCCAGGCUGGAGUGUAGUGGCGUGAUCCUGGCUCACUGCAACCUCCGCCUCCUGGGUGCGAGCAAUUCUCCUGCCUCAGCCUCCUGAGUAGCUGGGAUUACAGGCACCCGCCACCAUGUCCAGCUAAUUUUUGUAUUUUAGUAGAGAUGGGGUUUCUGCAUGUUGGUCAGGCUGGUCUCAAACCCCUGACCCCAAGUGAUCCACCCACCUCGGCCUCCCAAAAUGCUGGGAUUAUAGACGUGAGCCACCACACCAGGCCUGGUGUGUAUUUUAUACUUACAGCACAUCUCAAUUCAUAUUAACCCCGUUUCAACCGCUCAAUUGCUAUGUGUGGCAGGUGGCUACCAUACUGGGAAUAUGGCUCCACCUCUGCUUCUACCUUCCCAUCAGUGCAAGCUGGGAUGCUGGUAGAAUGAAUCACCCUGAACUUGGUGGCAUAAAAUGGCACACAUUUAUUCUCUUACAGUUUUGAAGAUCAGAAAUCCAAAAUGGGUCUCACAGGGGCUAAAAUAAAGAUGGUGAUCAAGCUAUCUUUCUCCUGGAGACUCUGUUCCUUGCCUUUUUCAGCUUCCAGAGGCUGCCCACAUUCCUUGGCUCGUGGCUCCACACUGCUUUGACUUCUGCUUCCAUAGUCACAUCUCCUCUGACUCUGACCCUCCUGUGAGGACCUCUAUGUUUACAGUGAGCCCAUACAGAUAAUCCAGGAUCAUCACCCCAUAGCUCAAGAUCCUUACCUUGAUGACACCUGUAUGGUGUAAGGUAGCAUACUCACAGGUUCUGGGGAUUGAGAUCUUUGGCGGGGGCCAUGAUUUGGCCUUCAAUAAGUGCUUAGAAGGGGCUAGGGUCACAGAGGAAGAGUGCUCAGGCCUGUAGGCGAAAUAGGGCUAGGGAAAAAGGAAUUACUCCAUUUUGUCCAGAGUUAAGAGUUGAAUGAGCUGAAAUUCCAUAGGAGAAAACUAGGAGAAGCUGAAGGUGUUGAGUCUAAGGGGGACCUAUGGUUUGAAUAUUUGUCUCCCCCAAAACUUGUGUUGAAAUCUAAUUCCUAAUGUGGCCGUGUUGAGAGGCAGCACAUUUGAGAGGUGAUUGGGUCAUGAGGGCAGAACCCUCAUGAAUGGAUUAGAGCAUUCAUGGAUUAAAGGGUUAAUGGACUCAUGGAUUAAUGAGGUAUCUCAGGAGCAGGACUGAUGGCUUUACAAGAAGAAAAAGAGAGACUUCUGCUAGCACACUCAGCACCUUGCCCUGUGAUGCCCUGAGCUGCCUCAGGACGCUCCAGAGAGACCCCACCAGUAAGAUGGCCGUCUGCAGAUGCAAACCCUUGAUGCGGGAUUUCUCAGCUUCCAUAAUUAUAAGAAAUACAUUUCUUUUGUUUAUAAAUUACCCAGUUUCAGGUGUUCUGUUAUAAAGCACUGAAAAUGAACUAAGAUAAGAGAAAACCUGGCCAAGGCCCAUCCGAACCAAGCAGCAGUGUUCCUAUUCUAUUUAUUUAUUGCUAUUUAGGAAACAUUAAAAAUAUAUACAUAUAUUUAUAUAUAUAUACACAUUUUUUUGAGACACAGUCUAGUUCUUUCACCCAGGCUGGAGUGCAAUGUCAGGAUCUUGGCUCACUGCAACCGCCUCCUCCCAGGUUCAAGCUAUUCUCCUGUCUCAGCCUCUCGAGUAGCUGGGAUUACAGGCAUGCACCACCACGCCCAGCUAAUUUUUGUAUUUUUAGUAGAGACAGAGUUUCACCAUGUUGGCCAGUCAGGUCUCAAAUUCCUGGUCUCAAGUGGUCCGCCCACCUUGGCCUCUCAGAGGGCUGGGAUUACAGGUAUGAGCCACCGCAUCCAGACCAAAGGUCAUAUUUAUUUCAUGCAGUUUCAGGCCCAUACCAUCCACACUAUCCUGUGCCACACAUGCCCAUAACCUCAGUGCGCAAGUCAGCGGCAGAACUCUCAAGAUGAGCUUAGUGUAGAGAGGAUCGUUUAAACGUUAAAAUAUUCACGGGAUGAAAAAAAUAGGUAUAUUGCAUUUUACCAAAGGAAAACCAGUAAAAUGGGACUGCAUACUUCUGACCAAGGACUCAGCGCUAAAUAAGACAAAAAUACAUCUUUUUUUUUUUUUUUUGAGACGGAGUUUUGCUCUUGUUACCCAGACUGGAGUGCAAUGGCACGAUCUCGGCUCAUGGCAACCUCCGCCUGCUGGGUUCAGGCAAUUCUCCUGCCUCAGCCUCCUGAGUAUCUGGGAUUACAGGCAUGCGCUACGAUGCCCAGCUAAUUUUUUGUAUUUUUAGUAGAGACGGGGUUUCACCAUGUUGACCAGGAUGGUCUCGAUCUCUUGACCUCGUGAUCCAUCUGCCUUGGCCUCCCAAAGUGCUGGGAUUACAGGCAUGAGCCACUGCACCCCGCCAAAAAUACAUCUUAAAAUAUUAUAAAAUCUGUAAUCACCUAACACAAUAAACGUGUGCCACUCCAACUUCCAUAAAAUGGGCUUUGUAUCACUCUACACAGUGAUUACACAGGGAGUCCAGUGAACUGUAGAGCACAUAAAAGUACCAUUGGAUCAUACACUUGAAUCCAAGCCUAAUUUGAUGGCUGUCAUGUGGUCAAUUACAAUCUUGCUGAACUUGUUAGACCUUAGCAUGGCUCAGAGGAGACGAUUUAACGAUCCAAAAUGUCUCACAGAUGCCUUUAUUUUCUCUCGAUCUGUUUCCCUGGAGAGCAAGCAGAGGUAUUUAAAACAAUUUCCAAAAAUGAAUCAGUACAUUGGGUGCUUAAUGUGCUAUUGGUAAUGACAGUCCUUCUAGCCAACUGGGUCCAGAGUACUGAGGAAACAGGUCACAUGGGAGGGGUGGAUGCCUGGCAUGUGACACACCCACCCACUGGGUGGGACAUGCCCUGGGAGGGAAGCCCAUGAGUGUGGGUGCCAGGUAUGGCAGACAGAACUCGGAACUUGGGGUGCAAGAAGCUGAUAAUUAACUUUUUUUUUUUUUUGAGAUGGAUUCUCACUCUGUUGCCCAGGCUGGAGUGCAGUGGUUUAAUCUCGGCUCACUGCAACCUCCGCCUCCCAGGGUUCAAGUGAUUUUCCUGCCUCAGCCUCCCAAGUAGCUGAGACUACAGGCGUGUGCCACCACACCUGGCUAAUUUUUUGUAUUUUUAAUGGAGAUGGGGGUUCACCAUGUUAGCCAGGAUGGUCUCAAUCUCCUGACCUCGUGAUCCGCCUGCCUUAGCUUCCCAAAGUGCUGGGAUUACAGGCGUGAUAAUUAACCAUUUUAUAGUAAAAUGGGAGGCCUCAGAGUGAUCUGGUAUAACAAGAGGUGGACAGAGGGUUGCAACAGAUCAGGUAUUUAAUGAACACCCUUGGCAUUCUUGGAUACAAGUCACCAUUUAAAAUAUUUUGGAGUGACCCCAGAGAUCCAUGACCUGUAGUCAUUUGUCAUUUUGCCAGGACAAGGAUCUUAAACACCUGAGGACCUAAGAGCCACCUGAGUGGAUGGCUGGCAUCCCAUCUCACCAUAACUUUGUGGUUCUUUUUUUUUUUAAUGAAUGAGAGGUUCUUACAUUGCCCAGGUUGGCCUAUGAACUCAUAGCCUUGCCUCUCAAGCAGCAGGACAACUGGCCUGAGCAACCGUGGCUCCUGACUUUGUGGUUCUUUGUUCAUGGCUGGGGAUGCAGAAGUUUUCCUUUGGUAAUUAAAAAAAUAAAAACAACCACAAUGGGUUUUUCUUUGGAAAAAAAAAAAAAAAAAAGGCAGCUGCUUCUUACUGGUAUUAAACUGAAGAGAAAUUCAGCCAGAAAAUGAAAUAUAACUGAAUGUGAAACUCAGCUGUGCUGGACUAGACAGGAUUAGCACUUGUGUUCUCUUCCCUUCCUCCCUGCCUGCUCUUUCUCUCUUUUUCCCUCUCUUUCUCUCUUUUUUUCUUCCUUCUCUUUUAUUUUUCAUUCUUUCUCUUUCUCUUUCCCUCCCUCCCUCCCUCCUUCCCUUCCUUUCUUCCAUCCUUCCUCUCUUUCCCUUUCUCUCUCUCUCUCUCUCUCUCUUUCUUUCUUUCUUUCUUUCCCAGAGUCUCCCUCUGUCACCCAAGCUGGAACGCAAUGGUGUGAACACUACAGCCUCUAACUCUUGCCUCGGCAUGCCAAAGUGCUGGAUUACUGGAGUGAGCCACUGCCCCGGCCCCCGCUUAUACUCUAUACAAAAGAGUAUAAGACAUUGAAGAAGCUGUUUGAAUAUAACCCAAAAAAAUGGUCAUCAAAAGAGAGUUACACUUUAGGGAAACUUGAAAAGGAGUUUAAUAAGCUACGUGAGGCUAUGCACACGAAACAGCGAGCCUUUGAUUCUGGAGAACAAGAGGCAUGUGCAUAAACAACACAGAGAUUCAAAAAGGCUUGGGAAAGUGUUGCUCAAGCAUGUCAUGGGUUGGCUGUAAUCAGAAAUCAAGCUUGUGGGAGCUGUUGUUGGGAAAGCCCGUCAGCAGGUUCAAAAAGGUCCUGAGAAGUCCUGCAAAGAAACGUCUCAAAAUUGGGUAAACCCUGCAUUCCAAACUGACUUCAUCAUGGAAUCCCUUUCCAAAUAAUACUUUUAAGCCUUCUGAAGAACUACUUUUUAAAAAAGUAUGAUUAUUAUUUUUUCUCUCCUCCCCUUCCCUGAAGAACUACUUUUUAUAAAGAACACACUUUGGUAAAUGAUGGUCUAAUGAAAGAAGUCAUGAAAACUGGAUAACCCCAGGAUUUUCUCAAGAGUCUGCUCUCUCAUUCACAAUGUUCUGUGGAAGCUAAGCUGGGUGGAAUAAGGCUCUAUUUGGCUUUUUCUUUUUCUAUUCUUCAGUCUGUAACAAUAACUCCCUGUGGGUUAAUGUUGGCAUCUAAAAGAAAGAAAAAUAUGCACAUUAGGUCUCAUGAGGCUACUCAGUAUGUCUGUUCCUCAGGAAAGGGUAACAGCUGGUCGCAGUGGGAGAUUGUCCUUGCAGUUCCUAUCAAUAUCUUUUAACCAAUGUUGAGAUCACAUUUCUUCUGUUUCUAUUUCCCUUCCUGCUAAACCCCAGGCCAUCAGCUCUCAUGCCCUGUGUUUUUCCCUACAUUAUACAGGAUCACAAGUGUUUAUCAAAAGCUGUCCUUUCCCUGUUCUGUAUUAUGUACAAAGGCUAAAAAUUUGACAGAGUACAACUAAAUAAAUGGAAAUGUAAAAGCCCCAUA